rnacentral:piRNA from 1 species
UCACACGUUCUAGAGAAUUCUGAGUCUCU